UCCUACGGGAGGCAGCAGUGGGGAAUAUUGGACAAUGGGGGGAACCCUGAUCCAGCCAUGCCGCGUGUGUGAAGAAGGCCUUUUGGUUGUAAAGCACUUUAAGUGGGGAGGAGGCUUACCUGGUUAAUACCUGGGCUAAGUGGACGUUACCCACAGAAUAAGCACCGGCUAACUCUGUGCCAGCAGCCGCGGUAAUACAGAGGGUGCGAGCGUUAAUCGGAUUUACUGGGCGUAAAGCGCGCGUAGGUGGUUUUUUAAGUCAGAUGUGAAAUCCCCGGGCUUAACCUGGGAAUUGCAUUCGAAACUGGUUAGCUAGAGUAUGGGAGAGGAUGGUAGAAUUCCAGGUGUAGCGGUGAAAUGCGUAGAGAUCUGGAGGAAUACCGAUGGCGAAGGCAGCCAUCUGGCCUAAUACUGACACUGAGGUGCGAAAGCAUGGGGAGCAAACAGGAUUAGAUACCCUGGUAGUCCAUGCCGUAAACGAUGUCUACUAGCCGUUGGGGGAUUUGAUCCUUUAGUGGCGCAGCUAACGCGAUAAGUAGACCGCCUG
rnacentral:rRNA from 1 species